rnacentral:rRNA from 1 species
UACGUAGGGGGCAAGCGUUGUCCGGAAUCAUUGGGCGUAAAGAGCGUGUAGGCGGCCAGAAAAGUCCGCUGUGAAAACUCGAGGCUCAACUUCGAGCUGUCGGUGGAAACUUUCUGGCUAGAGUCCGGAAGAGGAGAAUGGAAUUCCUGGUGUAGCGGUGAAAUGCGCAGAUAUCAGGAGGAACACCGGUGGCGAAGGCGGGUCUCUGGGCAAUAACUGACGCUGAGGAGCGAAAGCGUGGGGAGCGAACAGG